UUUAAUGUGGUGUUUGGCAUUUUACAUUUUGGUUGUAAAGGUGAUUAGUUAUCCAUUAAAU
rnacentral:tRNA from 1 species